rnacentral:antisense_RNA from 1 species
CUUCACCGAACCCAGCCACAGCGGCGCUUCCCGGUCCUGCCCGUAGGUGGCCAGCAGCGCCUGAGCCUC